rnacentral:rRNA from 1 species
AUGCACAUGAGCGAGGUGGGACUAUUUUUGAGUUCUAAUCCUCACAGAGAAGUGCGGGAGCCAUGGAGGGGCGCGCUGGAGGGAGCAGCUUGGGUUCUCGCCGCCAUGCUCGCCAUGCCGUGCCAUCUCUCGUUUCUCUCCUUCUUCUUGGUUUUCCCCUCUCUCUCUCCCCCUCAUGCUUCCUCGUUUUCUUUGAGGAGCACGGCGGCGCAACCAUGGCGCCACCCAGGAGAACCCCAACGCCUUGCAAGGUCCAUCUGCCGCUCGCCUGGAUCCGGACGCCGUCGUCGUUCCACGCAUCCAACUCGUCUGCCACCACCCUGUGCAGACCUCACUCAAUCGGAUCAAGCGAGAGAGCCGCCUGCCGUCGUCCCACACGCUCGUUGA